UACGUAGGGGGCAAGCGUUGUCCGGAUUUAUUGGGCGUAAAGAGCGUGUAGGCGGUUUGGUAGGUCCGCUGUGAAAACUCGAGGCUCAACCUCGAGACGCCGGUGGAAACCAUCAGACUAGAGUCCGGAAGAGGAGAGUGGAAUUCCUGGUGUAGCGGUGAAAUGCGUAGAUAUCGGGAGGAACACCUGUGGCGAAAGCGGCUCACUGGACCACAACUGACGCUGAGGCGCGAAAGCUAGGGGAGCAAACAGG
rnacentral:rRNA from 1 species